GUGCACUCCACGACCAGCCGGAACUCCCACUCAGGUGCCCUUCUCUCUCUCGCAGAAGAGAGAGCUGUUUUCUUUUCUCUUUCUUUUGCCUAUUAAACCUCUGCUCCUAAACCCACUUCCUGUGUGUCUGCAUACUCGAUAUCCUUGGCAUGAGAUGGCGAACCUCAGGUGUUUACCCCAGAGAAUGAUGUUUCUUUGGAAUUGCUGAAACAUAUGAGAAUGUACAACUCCUCUGCCACAACGUGAGGGAGAGAAGUCUGCAGACGGCUGACUGGUGACGACUGAACAAGACGGAAAGGCAAGUCGCUAUGCCCGAAGCCUUUGAAGGGAGCCAGCAGGGUCCAUGGGAGGUUCAGGACACAUAUCUGCAGCCCUGCUUCUGGCCCCACCCUUGGGGAAGCCUUUUGCAGGUGAUCCUGGGCCUCUGCUGGGGAAGGCCCCAAGAGGUGAAGCAUCCUCUGCAGAGGAGAGAGCACAUCCGGAAGUAGAAGACAGACCACUGUCUGGGCUCCGUUUAACUGCUGUGAUUUGGGAUUGUAACUUACUCCCGUAAAGCCUCAGUUUCCCACAUGGAAAAUCAAAUCGAUCAUUGUUAUAACAUUUCACUUUUUUGUUAUGUGAUGUAAUUUACACAGUGCUUUCGUAUACGUUAUCCAAUUUAGCGAAAUAAUACAGAGCAAUGCAUUUUGAAAAGAAUAAAAUGCUUAACAUAUGUGAGGAAUUCUUUUUUCCUUUGAAAACUACUCCGGAUGGCUUGGCUAUUGUUUAGUUAAGAGAAUUAUACAAUUUUUGAGACAUGGUUCCUUAUCUUGUGUAGGCUGAAAGGCAAUUAAACAAUUAUUCAUGUCAGAAUCUGAGGUAAAUAAAAGGCUGCUUCAAAGAGUCCACUUACGGAGUGAAAAGCAGUUGAGUAGAAACAGAGAGUGGUCUGUAAUUUCCUUCUGGAAGGAAUAUCCACUCCAUAUGGCCUGAAGCAAGAAUUUCAAACUCCUACGUGUGACCUUUACACAGCCAGGACCCCCAUAGAGCAGCCAAACAUGCAGUCUUGUAAACAAAAGGAAUUUCAAGAUAACUCUGAUCUUUCACUAAUUAUCCCAAAGCCCAAAGGGGAUCCAUAUACAUAGUCCGAAGCCUACUUUAAGGAGGCAUCCUCCCCUGUGUAUUCCCAGCCCAUCCCAUAGUU
rnacentral:lncRNA from 1 species